CGUAUUUWUUAGAGUUUUCGCCAACCACCUCCGGGUGUUCGGUGAGUCAUAAUAACUUCUCGGAUCGCAUGGUCUCGCACCGGCGACAGGUCAUUCAARUUUCUGCCCUAUCAGCUUUCGAUGGUAGGAUAGUGGCCUACCAUGGCAUUAACGGGUGACGGAGAAUUAGGGUUCRAUUCCGGAGAGGGAGCCUGARAAACGGCUACCACUUCUACGGAAGGCAGCAGGCGCGCAAAUUGCCCAAUCCUGACACAGGGAGGCAGUGACAAGAAAUAACAGUAGACGGCUUACGCUUGUCUUACUGGAAUGAGAACAAUUUAAACACCUUAUCGAAUUACUGGAGGGCAAGUCUGGUGCCAGCAGCCGCGGUAAUUCCAGCUCCAGUAGCGUAUACUAACGUUGUUGCAGUUAAAAAGCUCGUAGUUGGAUUUCUGACUUGGCGUCSCGUCUCAKCUCCUAGAGGGUUUGGGUACAGMGAAACGUCGAGUCAUCCUGGCACAAUCUCUUUCUGGCUUUCACUAGCUGGACUGGGGGACAGCCUCGWUUACUUUGAGAAAAUUAGAGUGUUCAAAGCAG
rnacentral:rRNA from 1 species